rnacentral:rRNA from 1 species
AUGAACGCUAGCUACAGGCUUAACACAUGCCAGUCGCGGGGCAGCAUGGGGGUUGCUUGCACUCCCCGAUGGCGACCGGCGCACGGGUGAGUAACGCGUAUCCAACCUGCCCUUCACCACGGGAUAACCCGGCGAAAGUCGGACUAAUACCGUAUGUUGUCCAUUGACGGCAUCCGAUUUGGACGAAAGGCUUGGCGGUGAGGGAUGGGGAUGCGUCCGAUUAGCCAGACGGCGGGGUAACGGCCCACCGUGGCUACGAUCGGUAGGGGUUCUGAGAGGAAGGUCCCCCACACUGGAACUGAGACACGGUCCAGACUCCUACGGGAGGCAGCAGUGAGGAAUAUUGGUCAAUGGGCGUAAGCCUGAACCAGCCAAGUAGCGUGCAGGAGGACGGCCCUAUGGGUUGUAAACUGCUUUUAUGCGGGGAUAAAGUGGCCCACGUGUGGGCUUUUGCAGGUACCGCAUGAAUAAGAACCGGCUAAUUCCGUG